rnacentral:rRNA from 1 species
GCGGCGUGCCUAACACAUGCAAGUCGAACGGAGCUGAUAUUUGACGUUUUCUUCGGAUUUCUGAUGUUUCAGCUUAGUGGCGAACGGGUGAGUAACGCGUGAGCAACCUGCCUUUCAGAGGGGGACAACAGUUGGAAACGACUGCUAAUACCGCAUAACAUCCGGGAGGGGCAUCCUUUCCGGAUCAAAGAUUUAUCGCUGAAAGAUGGGCUCGCGUCUGAUUAGCUAGUAGGCGGGGUAACGGCCCACCUAGGCGACGAUCAGUAGCCGGACUGAGAGGUUGAUCGGCCACAUUGGGACUGAGAUACGGCCCAGACUCCUACGGGAGGUAGCAGUGGGGAAUAUUGGGCAAUGGGGGCAACCCUGACCCAGCAACGCCGCGUGAGGGAAGAAGGUCUUCGGAUUGUAAACCUCUUUUACCAGGGAAGAAGAAAGUGACGGUACCUGCAGAAGAAGUCACGGCUAACUACGUGCC